UGGCCCAGGACGUGGAGAGCCUGGCGCUGUGCCUGCAAGCCCUGCUGAGUGAAGACAUGUACCGACUGGACCCCACUGUGCUCCAGAUGCCCUUUAGGGAGGAGGUGAAGACCCCCUUUCCCACCCCAGGCUGCAGUGAGUGAGAAGCCCACAUGCUCAGUCCAGUUUGUUUCCUUCCCCUGCUGGACACCAGCUGCUUUGGCUUCUUGGCUAUCUGGAGCCAUAGCUUGACACCCAAGAAACUGUGGGAACAGCACACAGCAGUGGAGGAAUAUGAGCAAGAGUUCAUAGCCAAGUGGAGGUCCCUGGACCUGGAUGUGCUGCUGGUGCCAGUUCUGGGCUCUGCCUUCUAUAUAGGCUCUUCCUCCCUAGCAUCAG
rnacentral:lncRNA from 1 species